CACGUAGGGCGCAAGCGUUGUCCGGAAUUAUUGGGCGUAAAGAGCUCGUAGGCGGUCUGUUGCGUCCGCUGUGAAAACUCGGGGCUUAACCCCGAGCCUGCAGUGGAUACGGGCAGACUAGAGGUAGGUAGGGGAGAAUGGAAUUCCCGGUGUAGCGGUGAAAUGCGCAGAUAUCGGGAGGAACACCGGUGGCGAAGGCGGUUCUCUGGGCAGAUACUGACGCUGAGGAGCGAAAGCGUGGGGAGCGAACAGG
rnacentral:rRNA from 1 species